rnacentral:lncRNA from 1 species
UUCUCUUUAACCUAAACUUGCUAUAUAUAUAUAUAUAUGCAAAUCCAACUCUCAUGAAAGUUACCAGUGGAUCCAUACUCUGUUGAUGAUGGAAGACAAGUUUAUUAUUGUGCUUGAAAAUAUGCCUACCCAAUUAAGGUUUUAUGAGAGGUAAAAUCUAGAUGGUUUAGGAGAGAAACUAUCUUUAUCUUUUAACUUUGUCAUUAUAAUAAAAGGAAGAUACCAGUCCCUAGACAGUUGUAUGCCCCUUUCACUUUCAUCUUUUCUAUCUUAUUUUUCUUCCCCUUUUUUUUCUUCGAAAAC